UGGGGAAUAUUGGACAAUGGGCGCAAGCCUGAUCCAGCCAUGCCGCGUGAGUGAUGAAGGCCUUAGGGUUGUAAAGCUCUUUCGCCGGUGAAGAUAAUGACGGUAACCGGAGAAGAAGCCCCGGCUAACUUCGUGCCAGCAGCCGCGGUAAUACGAAGGGGGCUAGCGUUGCUCGGAAUCACUGGGCGUAAAGCGCACGUAGGCGGGUUGUUAAGUCAGAGGUGAAAUCCUGGAGCUCAACUCCAGAACUGCCUUUGAUACUGGCGACCUUGAGUUCGAGAGAGGUUGGUGGAACUGCGAGUGUAGAGGUGAAAUUCGUAGAUAUUCGCAAGAACACCAGUGGCGAAGGCGGCCAACUGGCUCGAUACUGACGCUGAGGUGCGAAAGCGUGGGGAGCAAACA
rnacentral:rRNA from 1 species